CGGGCCGGGGCUGCGGGCGGUAAAAGACCUAAGAACCCAGGGAAAAAACCUUCCCAACCAACCAAACCCCGCCUACGUCACCCUGGCGGGUGAAACUGGUGGGUGCGAGUGGCGCGGUGGCCGUUCGGGCGUGCAGUCUCGCCCCAGGCACCAUCACAACCCCACACAUGCAUCGGCCCCCGCCGGGACGGCAAUCCCAGUGCGAGGGCCUGACCAUCGAGGAAGUAGGCCCUUCCCC
rnacentral:ncRNA from 1 species